UGGUUCUGGCAUCGAUGAAGAACGCAGCGAAAUGCGAUAAGUAAUGCGAAUUGCAGAAUUCCAGUGAGUCAUCGAAUCUUUGAACGCACAUUGCGCCCAUUGGUAUUCCGAUGGGCAUGCCUGUUCGAGCGUCAUUAUCAACCUUCAAGCCGCCGGCUUGGUGUUGGAGGCCUGGCCUAGGUUUAUCCCUGGCCCCUCCCAAAGACAAUGACGGCGGCGACGAGUGACCCCCGGUACACUGAGCUUUUAACUGAGCACGUACCGGUCCGGGCCUCGCGGCGACGGUCUGCCUCCCCUAGGGAGAACCCCUUUUAUCAAGGUUGACCUCGAAUCAGGUAGGGAUACCCGCUGA
rnacentral:misc_RNA from 1 species